rnacentral:rRNA from 1 species
CGCGGGAUUGCGGGGGCACGGGGGGACGGGGUGCAGCAGGCGCGAAACCUUUACAAUGCACGAAAGUGUGAUAAGGGGAUCCCAAGUGCUCAAGCUAUGCUUGGGCUUUUGCCAGGAGUAAAUAUCUUGGCGAAUAAGUGGUGGGAAAGACUGGUGCCAGCAGCCGCGGUAACACCAGCGCCACAAGUGGCAUACGUUUUUAUUGGGCCUAAAGCGUUCGUAGCUGGUUUGCUAAAUCUUUUGUGAAAUCAAGGGGCUUAACCUCUUGGCGUGCAGAAGAGACUGGCAGACUUGGAACCGGGAGGAGUCAGUGGUAUUUCGUGGGAAGCGGUAAAAUGCUGUAAUCCUCGGAGGACCACCUGUGGCGAAGGCGACUGACUAGAACGGAUUCGACAGUGAGGGACGAAGGCCAGGGGAGCGAACCGGAUUAGAUACCCGAGUAGUCCUGGCAGUAAACGCUGCGAGCUAGGUGUUGCGUAUCUUUAGAGGUAUGCAGUGUCGAAGCGAAGGUGAUAAGCUCGCCGCCUGGGAAGUAUAGUCGCAAGACCGAAACUUAAAGGAAUUGGCGGGGGAGCACCACAAGGGGUGCGGCGUGCGGUUUAAUCUAAUUCCACGCAGAAAAUCUCACCAGAAGCGACGGCAGAAUGAAAGUCAGUCUAAAGGGCUUACUUGACGAGCCGAGAGGUAGUGCAUGGCCGCCGUCAGCUCGUGCCGUAAGGUGUCCUGUUAAGUCAGGCAACGAGCGAGACCUGUGCUUACAAUUGCUAACGUCAAUUUAAUUGGAGCGAGCACAUUGUAAGGACUGCCCUGGAAACAGGGAGGAAGGUGCAGGCUACGGUAGAUAAGUAUGCUCCGAAUCUUCUGGGCUACACGCGCGCAACAAUGGUUGGGACAAUGGGCUGCAACUCCGAAAGGAGAAGCUAAUCCUCUAAACCCAAUCCAAGUACAGAUUGAGGGUUGCAACUCACCCUCAUGACGAUGGAAUCCCUAGUAAUCGGAAUUCAUUACGUUCCGGUGAAUACGUCCCUGCUCCUUGCACGAGUUAACCGAAUCACUAGU